GUUCCUGUAGGGCAAUGGAUUGCGCGUUGAACUUCUAAUCCAAAGGUCGUGGAAUCUAAUCCCAUCUGGGAUG